CCGGUUGAUCCCGCCGGACCCCACUGCUAUCGGGAUAGGACUAAGACAUGCUAGUCAAGCGCUUUCUAGCUAAUGUGAGAGCGCGGCGUACAGCUCAGUAACACGUGGCCAACCUGCCCUUGGGACGGGAACACCCCCGGGAAACUGGGGUUAAUUCCCGAUAGGUGAAGAAGUCUGGAAUGACUCUUCGCUCAAAAGACGUUUAUGUCAUGCUCAUAUUCGUCGCCCAGGGAUGGGGCCGCGACCGAUCAGGUAGUUGGUGAGGCAAUGGCUCACCAAGCCUUUUACCGGUGCGGGCCGUGAGAGCGGGAGCCCGGAGAUGGGCACUGAGACAAGGGCCCAGGCCCCACGGGGCGCAGCAGUCGCGAAAAUUUUGCAAUACACGAAAGUGUGACAGAGCUAUCCCGAGUGCCAUCCGCUGAGGUAGGCUUUUACCCAGUAUAAAUAGCUGGGAGAAUAAGGAGAGGGCAAGUCUGGUGUCAGCCGCCGCGGUAAUACCAGCUCUCCGAGUAGUGUGGACGUUUAUUGGGCCUAAAGCAUCCGUAGCUUGCUAGAUAAGUCCUCUGUUAAAUCCACCGAUUCAAUCGUUGGAUUGCGGGGGAUACUGUUUGGCUAGGGGACGGGAGAGGUCGACGGUAUUUCCGGGGUAGGGGUGAAAUCCUAUAAUCCCGGGAGGACCACCAGUGGCGAAGGCUGUCGACUAGAACGCGCCCGACGGUGAGGGAUGAAAGCUGGGGGAGCGAACCGGAUUAGAUACCCGGGUAGUCCCAGCUGUAAACGAUGCAGGCUAGGUGUUUGGGCGGCCACGAGCCGCCCUAGUGCCGCAGGGAAGCUGUUAAGCCUGCCGCCUGGGGAGUACGGCCGCAAGGCUGAAACUUAAAGGAAUUGGCGGGGGAGCACCACAAGGGGUGAAGCUUGCGGUUUAAUUGGAUUCAACGCCGGAAAUCUCU
rnacentral:rRNA from 1 species